rnacentral:rRNA from 1 species
UGGGGAUUUUUCCGCAAUGGGCGAAAGCCUGACGGAGCAAUACCGCGUGAGGGAUGACGGCCUUGGGGUUGUAAACCUCUUUUAUCAAGGAGGAAGUUCUGACGUGUACUUGAUGAAUAAGCAUCGGCUAACUCCGUGCCAGCAGCCGCGGUAAGACGGAGGAUGCAAGUGUUGUCCGGAAUCACUGGGCGUGAAGCGUCUGUAGGUGGUUUAAAAAGUCUGCUGUUAAAAGUUGAAGCUUAACUUCAAAGAUGCCGUAGAAACUUUUAAACUUGAGGAUGGUAGGGGUAGAGGGAAUUUCCAGUGGAGCGGUGAAAUGCGUAGAUCUUGGAAAGACCACCAAUGGCGAAGGCACUCUACUGGGCCAUUACUGACACUGAGAGACGAAAGCUAGGGGAGCGAAUGGGAUUAGAUACCCCAGUAGUC